rnacentral:tRNA from 1 species
AGCCCCGAGGUGGUUUGUUUCCACGCCAAAAUGCAAAUUUGGAGAAGUACCCUAUAAGUGCCGGGGCUU